AUUGAACGCUGGCGGCAGGCUUAACACAUGCAAGUCGAGCGGGGUGAUGGUGCUUGCACUAUCACUUAGCGGCGGACGGGUGAGUAAUGCUUAGGAAUCUGCCUAUUAGUGGGGGACAACAUCUCGAAAGGGAUGCUAAUACCGCAUACGUCCUACGGGAGAAAGCAGGGGAUCACUUGUGACCUUGCGCUAAUAGAUGAGCCUAAGUCGGAUUAGGGAGUUGGUGGGGUAAAGGCCUACCAAGGCGACGAUCUGUAGCGGGUCUGAGAGGAUGAGCCGCCACGCUGGGACUGAGACACGGCCCGGACUCCGACAGGAGGCAGCAGUGGGGAGUAUUGGACAAUGGGGGGAACCCUGAUCCAGCCAGGCCGCGUGUGUGAAGAAGGCCUCAUGGUCGUAAAGCACUUUAAGCGAGGAGGAGGCUCUUUUGGUUAAUAGCCAAGAUGAGUGGACGUUACUCGCAGAAUAAGCACCGGCUAACUCUGUGCCAGCCGCCGCAGUAA
rnacentral:rRNA from 1 species